UACGAAGGGGGCUAGCGUUGCUCGGAAUUACUGGGCGUAAAGCGCACGUAGGCGGCUUCUUAAGUCGGUGGUGAAAUCCUGGAGCUCAACUCCAGAACUGCCUUCGAUACUGGGAAGCUCGAGUCCGGGAGAGGUGAGUGGAACUGCGAGUGUAGAGGUGAAAUUCGUAGAUAUUCGCAAGAACACCUGCGGCGAAGGCGGGUUGCUGGGCCGACACUGACGCUGAGGCGCGAAAGCCAGGGGAGCGAACGGG
rnacentral:rRNA from 1 species